UCCAGACUCCUACGGGAGGCAGCAGUGGGGAAUAUUGCACAAUGGGGGAAACCCUGAUGCAGCAACGCCGCGUGAGUGAAGAAGUAUUUCGGUAUGUAAAGCUCUAUCAGCAGGGAAGAAGAGAGACGGUACCUGACUAAGAAGCCCCGGCUAACUACGUGCCAGCAGCCGCGGUAAUACGUAGGGGGCAAGCGUUAUCCGGAUUUACUGGGUGUAAAGGGAGCGUAGACGGCAGCGCAAGUCUGAAGUGAAAUGCCGGGGCUUAACCCCGGAACUGCUUUGGAAACUGAGCAGCUAGAGUGCAGGAGAGGUAAGUGGAAUUCCUAGUGUAGCGGUGAAAUGCGUAGAUAUUAGGAGGAACACCAGUGGCGAAGGCGGCCUGCUGGGCUUUUACUGACGCUGAGGCUCGAAAGUGUGGGGAGCAAACAGGAUUAGAUACCCGAGUAC
rnacentral:rRNA from 1 species